CACUGAGUCGCUGCCAGUGGGACCCGCGGAGGGCCACAUGCGCCAGACCCCGAGAAGGCGCUGGGCACACAGGAGAGCCGCUGGAGACAGUUCAGGAGGAGGUGGGAUCAGCAGGAUGCAGUGACAGGCUUUUUGGAAUGAGAGAUGACAGAGAAGGACCAGCCCCACAGCCUGGGUGGAGGGGAUGGCGGCUGCUGAGAGAGCCCCUCAGGAGCAGUGGCAGAUCUGAGAUGGGAUGGGAAGGUGUGGUGAGAGAAACUGGGUGCCCGCGGCCUGCAGGGCAUCUGAGGGGCACUGUCCCAUGGGCCCCGGGAAUACUGGACAGGAGAUCUGGAGGGAAGCCUGGCCUAAGGCAUGGAUUUAGAAAGGUAAAUAGUAGCUGCAUCCAUGGAUGAUACGCAGAAGCCCUGGCCUCGGGAAAAACCGAGAGGCCCCACCCACCUGUCCCUGCCCUGGAAUGCUGGCCACCUGCCUGGGGGUCACUUUACAAAAGUGUCCAGGGCCACGGGGUAGGCAGAUAGGUUCCUCAAUAAUCAUCAGGAACCUAAGGGUUUGUUUGUUUUUUUCUCAACUUGUUUUAGGUUCCUGAAUACCCUAGCUUAUUGGAGACAAUGAGUUUGUUUAUGAGUGCCUUCUGUAGGGGCUGGAGGCUUCUUGGAGAAGUAGAAUGGAGAGCGACUGUCAUCAACCAAAACCUUAAUUACAUAGAAUAAGGGUGCACACCAAUAAAAAGAAAAUGGCAUGAGUACCAUUCAAGUCCAAAUGAUCACAAGAACACUGGCUGAAAGAAACACCCAUAUGUUUGAUGUAUGGAUUCAGAGCUGAGGAAUCGCCAGGGUGUUGAGAGUUGCCUACAUAUGAGUUUUGUCUGCUUAAGGCCUUGAGAUUGAACAAAGCAAAGGAAAUCCCCUGGGUGGGGAUUCAGGAAAAUAUAUCGAGAUGGAAAGAGGAUAGCUGGUCCAUUCCAUGAACAUUUAGUGUUAUGGACACACUGCUCUGGGGUCUGCAUAUCGCCUCUCAUUCUUCCGCAGUGACCCUUUUCUGAGCAUCUUCCAAAGAUGGCAUUAUUUCCUUCUUGGACUGGUUAAAACAACAACAACAAAGAACCAGGAGUAAAAGAUAGAACUAGAGUUCAUUUUCUAGAGCUUCUCUGUGAACUCCCUGCAAUUUCACAGGCAUUUCCUUCACUCCUGGAUUCCAAAUUCCUGCGCUGCCUGCUCACUGUUAGAGUAGGAGCCUUUCUCCAGUGGAGAGCUGGGGACUUGGUCACCAUAAGCAGCUUGGCGAGCGCAGCCCCUUUGUGUGAAUCGGCCAGAAGAGAUCAGAAUAGCAUGAAGAUGGAAUAUGGGUUUGAAGAACUGUAUACAAUACCCACCCCCCUUAUCCUCAGGCUAACUUUCUGCAUUUUUCCGUUACCUCCGUCACCCAUGGUCCAGAAACAGAUGAUCCUCCUUCUAACUUAUCAUUGGAGAUCAGAAGUGGCCUAACACGGUGUCACAGCACCUACGUCAUGUACUUCACUGCGUCUCCCCACAUGGGCAUUUCAUCAUCUCACAUCAUCACGUGAGGACAUACAGCCAGAGGCAAUGGAGCCAGUGGCUAAACAGGAUGCUCACAGGCUGAAAAGGAGACUCUCAGAGCAAGAAUUGAGCAGAUUCAAGGAGACAGAAAGAAAGUCUAGUUCAGGAAGCUCAGAGGUGAAUCAAAUGUUUGCAGAAACUAAAGAGCCGGAGGUGAAAAGCAAAGGAUGUUCCCCUCUCCCCCUCACUCGACUCCCCAGGCUGGGAGGAAAGUAGGAGCCAUCAGGGGAGGAAGCUAACGGCGGCAGAGGGUCCCCAGCUCGCGCCCAGCCAGCCCGAAACCCACCACAGUCACCGCAGAGCCGAGGACCCGUUGUGACCCAUGGAAGGUUUAUUUUCUGCCUGAUGCCAAGCACUGG